UACGGGGGGGGCAAGCGUUGUUCGGAAUUACUGGGCGUAAAGGGCUCGUAGGCGGCCAACUAAGUCAGACGUGAAAUCCCUCGGCUUAACCGGGGAACUGCGUCUGAUACUGGAUGGCUAGAGGUUGGGAGAGGGUCGCGGAAUUCCCGGUGUAGAGGUGAAAUUCGUAGAUAUCGGGAGGAACACCGGUGGCGAAGGCGGCGACCUGGGUAGAUACUGACGCUGAGGUGCGAAAGGCGUGGGGAGCAAACAGG
rnacentral:rRNA from 1 species